GGGGGGAGAUAUACUAGGUGGCUUGCUUUUUCCUUCUCCUGCUUAUUUUACAGAUGUAGAACAGAGGCAAGCAGGGUUAAGUGACUUACCCAGAGUUACCCAGGUAGAUGUCUGAGGCCAGAUUUGAAUUCAGGAAGAGAAGUCUUCCUGACUCCAAGCCCAGCACUCUAUCCACUAUGCCACUUUGUUGCCCUGUCAGUGGUACAGGGAAUCAGAAAGAUGAUGGAUGUAGUCAGAAAGGAGAGUCACCAUCAGGAUGGUAGAUGGGAAUACCUGCAGAAUUCCCAAGCAAGGUAAAAUAUUCUCUUACGGCAUAAGAACUGUGAACAUGCUAUAGCCCUCAAAUAUGACUUGAUAAGAGUAAGAAAGGGAAAAGAGAAGGGAGAAAGAAGAGUAAGAUGACAAAGGAGGAGGACAAGAAAAAAGCAAGGGAGAAAGAAAGAAAGAAAGAAAGAAAGAAAGAAAGAAAGAAAGAAAGAAAGAAAGAAAGAAAGAAAGAAAGAAAGAAAGAAAGAAAGAAAGAAAGAAAGAAAGAAAGAAAGAAAGAAAGAAAGAAAGAAAGAAAGAAAGAAAGGAAGGAAGGAAGGAAGGAAGGAAGGAAGGAAGGAAAGGAAAGGAAAGGAAAGGAAAGGAAAGGAAAGGAAAGGAAGGAAGAAAGGAAGAAAGAAAGAAAGAAAGAAAGAAAGAAAGAAAGAAAGAAAGAAAGAAAGAAAGAAAGAAAGAAAAGAAGAAAGGAAAGAAGAAAGAAGAAAGAAGGAAGAAGGAAGAAAGAAGAAAGAAGGAAGAAAGAAAGAAGAAAGGAAGGAUGGACGGAAGGAAGGAAGGAGGAAAGAAAGAUAAAGAAAGAGGGAAGGAGGAAAGAAAGCUGGAGGGAGAAAGCAUGCAUUACAGUAUGUAUUUUUAAAGCAGGUGCAAGAAAGAAAAAAACAAAGAAAAAAAUAAUUUGGAGAGGAAGAAUAGAGGAAAGUAAGAGAGUAGGGCUCUUUGAGGAAAAAAAACCCCACCAAAAAGGAAUGUUUGGGCAGCUCGGAAAUACAUGCUAGAAGGGUUAAAAGUCAAAUCCAGGACUUUCCUAGAUGGCAAAUUGCAUUUGAUCCCCUUAAAUAAGGAGGCUAGUUCAAGUCUUUUUCUUCUUUGCCCUUCACUUGCUGAUUACUUGGG
rnacentral:lncRNA from 1 species